UUCUUUCUUUUUUCUUUCUUUUUUCUUCUUUUCCCCUCUCGCUCCUUUCUUUCUCUUUGUGAAAAGGGAUUGAAACCAACACACAAACAUUAUGAGUGAGAAACCCACCGAAAUUGAAACAAAUGUUCGACAAGAGACUUGGAAUGGUUUGAUCCCUGUUGUUGUCAACCUGGCAAAGAAUGAAUUGAA
rnacentral:ribozyme from 13 species